UACGUAGGGGGCUAGCGUUAUCCGGAAUUACUGGGCGUAAAGGGUGCGUAGGUGGUUUCUUAAGUCAGAGGUGAAAGGCUACGGCUCAACCGUAGUAAGCCUUUGAAACUGGGAAACUUGAGUGCAGGAGAGGAGAGUGGAAUUCCUAGUGUAGCGGUGAAAUGCGUAGAUAUUAGGAGGAACACCAGUUGCGAAGGCGGCUCUCUGGACUGUAACUGACACUGAGGCACGAAAGCGUGGGGAGCAAACAGGAUUAGAUACCCUGGUAGUCCCUGAG
rnacentral:rRNA from 1 species